rnacentral:rRNA from 1 species
AACGAACGCUGGCGGCGUGCCUAACACAUGCAAGUCGAACGGAGGCAAGGGGCUUGCUCCUUGCUUUAGUGGCGCACGGGUGAGUAACGCGUGGAUAAUCUGCCCGAUGCUCAGGGAUAACAUCUCGAAAGGGGUGCUAAUACCUGAUAAGCCCACGGGCUCUUCGGGGCUUGCGGGAAAAGGGGGGGACCUUCGGGCCUCCCGACAUCGGAUGAGUCCGCGUCCCAUUAGCUAGUUGGUGGGGUAAAGGCCUACCAAGGCGACGAUGGGUAGCUGGUCUGAGAGGAUGAUCAGCCACACUGGAACUGAGACACGGUCCAGACUCCUACGGGAGGCAGCAGUGGGGAAUUUUGCGCAAUGGGGGAAACCCUGACGCAGCAACGCCGCGUGAGUGAUGAAGGCCCUUGGGUCGUAAAGCUCUGUCAGAGGGAAAGAAAUGUGGGCGGGUAAUACCUGUUCCACUUGACGGUACCCUCAAAGGAAGCACCGGCUAACUCCGUGCCAGCCGCCGCCGUAAGAC